GGCCCUCGGGAUGCCGCAGGUGCCGCUUUAUUUAUUUAUUUAUUUAUUUAUGGCUCUUUCAGGGGUUGGCCUCAGCAAAUAUGGCUCCUGAGGCAGCUCGGGGCGGCGGUGAGGGAACUGCUUGCCCCUACCCAAGAUGGCGCCCGUGCAGCCCUGUUGGGCUCGUACCCUGGACAAAGAUGGCCGCCGGCGGGACGGCGCCCCCUUGCCCUUACCCAAGAUGCCGGCCCCGCCUCAGCGGGGCGGCGCGGGGCGACGGGGGGCGGUGAAGGGACGUGAGCGGACCCGGAGCUGCUGUCGGGGGGUGUCCCCUCGCUCCGGGAACCGCCUGGAAGAGGCAGGUGUGGGUUAGGCUCGGCUGGGUGAGAGCGGUGUGGGCAGGCGGCUGGGGGCACAAGUACGGGGCCGGGGGGCGAUCAUCGGCGUGAGGGCCGGGCAUGGCAGGUCUAACCUCCCGCCUGGUGCCCGUGGACACCUGGGCACUGUCCUGAGAGCCGUGGGCGCCUUCGAGAGCGUCAGAGAAAAUUCCUCAGGUGUGAGUGCUUUUUUCAUCAGUUUUCAGCCGGGAGCUGCUGGGGAUCACGGGCUGUGAGAUGAAGAGACCGUUCAGUGGUGAAGGUGCUUGGGAAAGGCAGCACCGCUGUCAGAAGUUUGCAUCUGCUCUAGAAGCAUUUCCUGAAAAACAAAUGGAGACCUAGAAGCUUUAAAAGCUUGGAAAUAACUCCCAGGUGGUAUUUAAGAGAAUGCCAUUAUUAACCAGCCCUUCUUAAAGUCUUCUGGUUUCACCAGCGAUUAUUUUGGUGGAUGAAUGGUGACUUAUGUAUGAGUCUGUCAGUACCAAUGAAAGGUCUGUUAUGGCCCCAGGUACUCUGAGAAUCAGUAAAAACGUUGUUUUAAAAUAUACGGAUGUCUGACAAAGA